CUUCAAAAAUUAGGGUUUUUCUGAGAUCCUGCACAAAGGACUGGGUCCCAACCAACAUGGUGGCUGGAGAAAAUGAAUGGCUUUCUGCAAAGAUAGCUCAGGCGUCGUGCUGCUGGGUGGGUGAAGGCUCUCAGAGAUGCUCCCGUCUCCUCUGUCUUGCUGCCCAUUUUCCACCCCCUGCCCCAGGGAGCCGCCUGCUGCUCUACUCCCUGGCCCCAGGCCGGGCUUACAGGUCGCUCCUGUAAAACUGCGGGCACUCAGAUGCCAUGCAAAUUCACAGUUUAUGCCUCUGUCAUUAACUAAUCUUUCUAUGAGUUUCCUUUUGGCAAAGCUAUUUCUUACAUGGGCCCUGGGAGAAGCGGGGGGAAGCACGAGUGCGUGCACUGGGGACGGUGCUGUGGGUUUAUGGCAAAGUCUGAAACUUGGGGCUGUAACUGUGAUUUUUUUAUUCAGUGCAUGCAAUUCAGUAGAGUCUUCUCAAUUGAAUUAUGUCUCAAUAGAGACAUCAGAAAAAUAUUUUCUUUGUAGUUUUGUCACUCUUUUUAUCGAAGACUUUCUACUUGCUUGAAUUUAUAUGGAAAAUGAAUUUUAAUCAACAGCAACUAAUUGUCAAGACCAUAGUGUUGCCCUGCAAGGUUUGACUGAGUAUUAUUCACACUUAGGCUGGAAAUGAAUAAUUUUAAAGGAACUUGCCAGAGUAAGGAAAGCAUCCCUUUACAUGAGGAGAAGAGGGUGUCUACAGGGAAACGAAAGGGAGAUUAUCCAGAGGACAACGACUGCCAUGCCUGUUGCCAGGGCAUUUAGCCACAGAGGAUAUUUUAUCCGCUGUUACUCUUGUUAGCCUCCUCUCCUUGUUACCUGCUGCAGGCAGAAUUCAAUGUGCAAACCAUACCAAGAACAAAGUUCUGGCACUUGCAAUAAUUUAAAAGAACAAUAUGUCAAAACCAGCUUUUGGGGGCAUAUUUUCAAUGACUUCCACCUGAGGCAUUGCCUGCAUGAGGACAAGCUGGACCCUUAAUUUGACUUGAGUGAAAUUCUGAUAGUUCAAGUAUACACGUGCUCCUGUACCACUUACGCUGCCUCUGUUUGAAUAGUGGGUUAUGGUUCUGAUGUUCCUCCACUUGCCUGCAUAGAAUUGCACCUGAAGUGGCUAUUUUAACGUACACACACCCCCCCCAGGCAGAAGAGACAAGAAUGCUUUGCUGCUGUAAGGGCUGUCUAGUUUCUUACGGCCACAGAAAUGCAGUCCAAGCAACAAAGAAGUCUUUGUUCUAUCUCUAUGCUUGGGCUGUGCCUUGGAUAUUAGUUGGAAACCUGAUCGCCUGACAUCGCUAGAAGUCUGUGCGUACAAUGUGAGUCGUCUGCAGCCGGGAUUAAAUCAGGCCUUUUGUACCGAGAUGCUGAGGGGCCAUGUGAUCUUGGAGAAGCGAUGGUUAUGGAUGGCAGGAGAUUUUUAACCCUUUGCGCCUGUGGCAGGGAGCCGGGGGGGUUUGCUGAUGUGAAUGUUUGCAGGGGAGGGGGCUGCACAGGGGCAGCCAGGGCUGCUAUGUGUACCAAUCGUUAGUGAGCCUGAGAAAUUCCUGUCAAAAAAACAAAUAAUGCCUUACGUGGAGUGGGUGAAAUCCAGCCCCGUGUGAAGGCCCAGGUGGAGAUGGGAUCCCUGGCAGGGGGGUGUACAGGCACCUCCCCGUGGCACUGGAGACCCUCUGCUCUGCUCCCAGCACUGCCCGGCUGGCUGGUGCUGGCUGCCGGGGGGGGUCAGUGCUGCUGCUGCGCCGGACUGCCGGACCAAGCGCUCGCUGUCUUUGGGACGGCUCUUCACCACUUUCUGUGGGCAGAGGCACUUUUUCUUCAAACCCGACAAAUCAGGACUAUGAGACAAGGUUCACCAAUGGCUCAGAAACUUGAGUUGUUCCAUAAAAUCUUGUGAAGCAACAUGAUAAAUAAUAAAUACAAGAGUAUCUUUAUUUGCCUGGUGGCUUUGAAUUCUGGGCGCCCCGUUCUCAAGCAUUCCUCUUGCCCGCAGGACAUGCAGCUUUCUCUUCAGCUGAGACCGGGAGGUUGGGACCCUUACGCAGGGAAGCGCCAGGAACAAGAGCGCUACCAAAGACCCUGAGGGCUGGCGGUGGGAACGUACUGGCAGCGUUCCGUGGGCAUUAAACAACAGUGAAAAGUGAGGGACACUCAGAUGCGUGGCCCCGUGGAGGUUUUCCAGGAGAGACCCCUCUGGUCCAUGCCAGGUGAGUUCCUCUGGAACAGUGACAUCUAAAACCGCAUCCAACAGCCCCUGCUGCUCCCCCAGCACAGUCCCGCUCUGCCUGGACAGAAAGAUGCUGUCCUGCAAGUGACAGAAGGGAAGGACUCGCAAACACAGUGUGUAAAAUGUCACGGGAUUUCAGGAUGUAAAAAGGAAGCACUAAGGUGAACGGUCCCGAGAAGCUAACGCUUAGGGAAAAUUAAGUUGUCAGGAAUUUACAAAAUAGCCUCUGGUUGUCUCCUUUCACAAUAGUUCAGUUUGUAAGAUGAUGAAAAAUGAAUUAACUUUAGUGGUUUGCUGGCAUCACCCACAGUGAGCUAGACUUUCCAGAUGCUCAAAGAUCAUUCCUGCUCCACCAAGCUUACAUAAAUCCCACCUGGUUCAAGUUUAAGAAAACAACAGAACAAAGUCAAUCAUACAAACUCCAUCAUAAAAUACCAAGGAGGGUCAAAUACCAAUUAUCUGUACAGAGAGGUACUAAUUUUUAUUUAUGUUUCACUGAGUUAUUUUAGGAAAUGUAAAACUCUUAAUGGUUCCUGCAGCCAAACUAAUUCUUUUGUGCUGUAUAUGUGAUCUAAUUUCUUUUUUCUUUCCUGCCCCUCCCAAUCAAAUGUGUAACCCUACGGUGUGUGUUUUAAGGAUGGAAAUUUGAAGGGGAAAAAAAAAGUCCAAGAGGUAUACUGUAGUAGAAUUACGAUAGAUGGGAAAAUUUGCUUUAGCAUUUCCUAGUGUUUUUACUAACCGUACAAUCUCGAUGUUGUAUUAUUCUAGCACUGUCCUGUUUUUUAGUGAUCCAAAUUAGAAAAUUUAAAUGUGUUCAACAUGUACACCUAAGUGCCCCAUAUGCUGUAAAGGUUUUCAUCUA